AGCAAGGAAUGCUGCAGAUGGAUGUCAGGCUGAAAAUCUCAGAGGCAACAUACGUACGAUCAAGUAUCAGCAAUUUCAAUGUAAAUGACAUGGAAAGUAAAAAUACAUAAAUUAAUAAAUAAAUGAAGAAAAUAAAGGAGAGAGGACAGGAAAUCAGAAGACAGACUUUUGGAGAUGGAGAAAUGAGUAAGUGGAGGUGGGAGAAAAAAGAGCAAAGAAAGGGAAGGAGGAAGUCAGCAAGUAUCCCUGGGCUCUAUGCCAACAGAAAAGAUAAUGACAGAGAGUGCUGUUGGAGUUUACAGAGAAAGAGUUCUUUUGGAAAAGCAAAGAGAUUAUUAAA